CUCAAAGGAAUUGACGGGGGCCCGCACAAGCGGUGGAGCAUGUGGUUUAAUUCGAUGCAACGCGAAGAACCUUACCUACUCUUGACAUCCAGAGAACUUAGCAGAGAUGCUUUGGUGCCUUCGGGAACUCUGAGACAGGUGCUGCAUGGCUGUCGUCAGCUCGUGUUGUGAAAUGUUGGGUUAAGUCCCGCAACGAGCGCAACCCUUAUCCUUUGUUGCCAGCGGUCCGGCCGGGAACUCAAAGGAGACUGCCAGUGAUAAACUGGAGGAAGGUGGGGAUGACGUCAAGUCAUCAUGGCCCUUACGAGUAGGGCUACACACGUGCUACAAUGGCAUAUACAAAGAGAAGCGACCUCGCGAGAGCAAGCGGACCUCAUAAAGUAUGUCGUAGUCCGGAUUGGAGUCUGCAACUCGACUCCAUGAAGUCGGAAUCGCUAGUAAUCGUAGAUCAGAAUGCUACGGUGAAUACGUUCCCGGGCCUUGUACACACCGCCCGUCACACCAUGGGAGUGGGUUGCAAAAGAAGUAGGUAGCUUAACCUUCGGGAGGGCGCUUACCACUUUGUGAUUCAUGACUGGGGUGAAGUCGUAACAAGGUAAC
rnacentral:rRNA from 1 species